AUGGAGCCGACCUUGAAAUACCACCCUUUAAUGUUUGAUGUUCUAACGUUGACCCGUAAUCCGGGUUGCGGACAGUGUCUGGUGGGUAGUUUGACUGGGGCGGUCUCCUCCUAAAGAGUAACGGAGGAGCACGAAGGUUGGCUAAUCCUGGUCGGACAUCAGGAGGUUAGUGCAAUGGCAUAAGCCAGCUUGACUGCGAGCGUGACGGCGCGAGCAGGUGCGAAAGCAGGUCAUAGUGAUCCGGUGGUUCUGAAUGGAAGGGCCAUCGCUCAACGGAUAAAAGGUACUCCGGGGAUAACAGGCUGAUACCGCCCAAGAGUUCAUAUCGACGGCGGUGUUUGGCACCUCGAUGUCGGCUCAUCACAUCCUGGGGCUGAAGUAGGUCCCAAGGGUAUGGCUGUUCGCCAUUUAAAGUGGUACGCGAGCUGGGUUUAGAACGUCGUGAGACAGUUCGGUCCCUAUCUGCCGUGGGCGCUGGAGAACUGAGGGGGGCUGCUCCUAGUACGAGAGGACCGGAGUGGACGCAUCACUGGUGUUCGGGUUGUCAUGCCAAUGGCACUGCCCGGUAGCUAAAUGCGGAAGAGAUAAGUGCUGAAAGCAUCUAAGCACGAAACUUGCCCCGAGAUGAGUUCUCCCUGACUCCUUGAGAGUCCUGAAGGAACGUUGAAGACGAC
rnacentral:rRNA from 1 species